UACCAGCACCCCGAGUGGUCGGGACGUUUAUUGGGCCUAAAGCAUCCGUAGCCGGUUCUACGAGUCUUCCGUUAAAUCCAACUGCUUAACAGGUGGGCUGCGGAAGAUACUAUAGAGCUAGGAGGCGGGAGAGGCAAGCGGUACUCGAUGGGUAGGGGUAAAAUCCGUUGAUCCAUUGAAGACCACCAGUGGCGAAGGCGGCUUGCCAGAACGCGCUCGACGGUGAGGGAUGAAAGCUGGGGGAGCAA
rnacentral:rRNA from 1 species